rnacentral:rRNA from 1 species
CAGCCGCCACGGUAAUACGGAGGGUGCAAGCGUUAUCCGGAUUCACUGGGUUUAAAGGGUGCGUAGGCGGGCAGGUAAGUCAGUGGUGAAAUCUUCGAGCUUAACUCGGAAACUGCCGUUGAUACUAUCUGUCUUGAAUAACGUUGAGGUGAGCGGAAUAUGUCAUGUAGCGGUGAAAUGCUUAGAUAUGACAUAGAACACCGAUUGCGAAGGCAGCUCACUAAACGCUCAUUGACGCUGAGGCACGAAAGCGUGGGGAUCAAACAGGAUUAGAUACCCCAGUAGUCCCUGUCUCUUAUAA